CUGAGGUCAGUGUCAGUCAGAUGUUCCAGAUCUGUUGUCUGUUGUUCAGGUCAGUGUCAGUCAGAUGUUCCAGAUCUGUUGUCUGUACAUCAGUUCAGUCAGAUGUUCCAGAUCUCUUGUCUGUAAAUCAGUUCCUCUGUCUCAGUGUCCAGUUCCUCUGGAGGUGAUUCUGUCUGAUUUUCAGUGUGAUCAGAUAUUUGGAACAGAAAUGAGACAAAUACACUUGGACAGGUUUAGAUUUUUUCCAGUGUAAUGCUCAUUCUAGAUUCAA